AGAGUUUGAUCCUGGCUCAGAAUCAACGCUGGCGGCGUGCCUAACACAUGCAAGUCGCACGAGAAAGGGGCUUCGGCUCUGAGUAAAGUGGCGCACGGGUGAGUAACACGUGAAUAAUCUACCUCCGAGUGGGGAAUAACCUAGAGAAAUCUGGGCUAAUACCGCAUAACACUUACGAGUCAAAGCAGCAAUGCGCUUGGAGAGGAGUUCGCGGCCGAUUAGUUAGUUGGCGGGGUAAUGGCCCACCAAGACGAUGAUCGGUAUCCGGCCUGAGAGGGCGCACGGACACACUGGAACUGAAACACGGUCCAGACUCCUACGGGAGGCAGCAGUGGGGAAUUUUGCGCAAUGGGGGAAACCCUGACGCAGCAACGCCGCGUGGAGGAUGAAAUAUCUUGGUAUGUAAACUCCUUUCGAUGGGGAAGAUAAUGACGGUACCCAUAGAAGAAGCCCCGGCUAACUUCGUGCCAGCAGCCGCGGUAAUACGAGGGGGGCAAGCGUUGUUCGGAUUUAUUGGGCGUAAAGGGUGCGUAGGCGGUUUGGCAAGUCUUAUGUGAAAUCUAUGGGCUCAACCCAUAGUCUGCAUAAGAAACUGCCGGGCUUGAGUAUGGGAGAGGUGAGUGGAAUUUCCGGUGUAGCGGUGAAAUGCGUAGAUAUCGGAAGGAACACCUGUGGCGAAAGCGGCUCACUGGACCAUAACUGACGCUGAUGCACGAAAGCUAGGGGAGCAAACAGGAUUAGAUACCCUGGUAGUCCUAGCCCUAAACGAUGAUUGUUUGAUGUGGCAGGUACCCAAUCCUGCCGUGUCGAAGCUAACGCGAUAAACAAUCCGCCUGGGGAGUACGGUCGCAAGGCUGAAACUCAAAGGAAUUGACGG
rnacentral:rRNA from 1 species